GUGUUACUGCGAAGGGGGGACGGAGAAGGCUAUGUUAGCCGGGCGACGGUUGUCCCGGUUUAAGCAUGUAGGCGGAGGUUCCAGGUAAAUCCGGUACCUUUUAACGCUGAGGUGUGAUGACGAGGCACUACGGUGCUGAAGUAACAAAUGCCCUGCUUCCAGGAAAAGCCUCUAAGCAUCAGGUAACAUUGAAUCGUACCCCAAACCGACACAGGUGGUCAGGUAGAGAAUACCAAGGCGCUUGAGAGAACUCGG
rnacentral:rRNA from 1 species